rnacentral:rRNA from 1 species
UAAUGUAUGGGGAUCUGCCCGAUAGAGGGGGAUAACUACUGGAAACGGUGGCUAAUACCGCAUAAUGUCCACGGACCAAAGCAGGGGCUCUUCGGACCUUGCACUAUCGGAUGAACCCAUAUGGGAUUAGCUAGUAGGUGGGGUAAAGGCUCACCUAGGCGACGAUCUCUAGCUGGUCUGAGAGGAUGAUCAGCCACACUGGGACUGAGACACGGCCCAG